CACUGGGUAGCUCAGUUGAUAGAGCAUGAGACUCCAGUGGCGUAGCGUGGGGGGUGCAGGGGGGGCCGGCCACACCGGGCGCAACAUCUGGGGGUUAGGGUUAGGGAGCGCAAAUCCACUGGUUAGGGGGCGCAAAUCCACGGGUUAGGGGGCGCAAAUUACUUGCCUUGUCCCGGGUGCUGACAACCCACGCUACGCCACUGUGAGACUCAUAAUCUCAGGGUCAUAGGUUUGAGCCCCAUGUUGGGCAAAAGA